GGUAGGUGCAACAUUCAUGGAUAGCAAAUGCCCUCAAUACUCGAAUACAUGGGGGACAGAGAAAACUCGCAGCGUUUGCAUUUUCCAAUACAGUCACCAGGGGGCAGGCACUGAUCAACCCGGGGAUUCUAGUUCGCAGGUACUGGAUCAAUAAUCAAUUGAAGUCGACAAUGAAAGAAAGGAAAUACGAAGCAUACCAAGAGCCCUGCCGGGAAAGAGAAAAAGAAAACCUUUGUUAAGAACGGGGGAGAAAAACAAUCGAUAACUGGCAUCACAGAGCAGGCACAGGGCCUCGCUUUCAGGAAGUGAAUGUUCCGACAAAUUUCCAAUGAACAUCCUUCCAUCUGCACAAGAUGAUGGAUAUCCAAUCUACUGGGAAUGGGGGCAGCUUCGCUUGGUACACUUGAGCCAAUGGCAGAAGUGAACAAUUGGGAGAUAUUUGUAUACUAUGGCAGAGGAACCUCGAUUAUCUGGGAGUCAAUUAUCCGAAUAUUGGAUUAUCCAGCAAGAUUGCAAGGUCCC